AUUGAACGCUGGCGGCAGGCCUAACACAUGCAGGUCGAACGGUAACAGGAAGCAGCUUGCUGCUUCGCUGACGAGUGGCGGACGGGUGAGUAAUGUCUGGGAAACUGCCUGAUGGAGGGGGAUAACUACUGGAAACGGUAGCUAAUACCGCAUAACGUCGCAAGACCAAAGAGGGGGACCUUAGGGCCUCUUGCCAUCGGAUGUGCCCAGAUGGGAUUAGCUAGUAGGUGGGGUAACGGCUCACCUAGGCGACGAUCCCUAGCUGGUCUGAGAGGAUGACCAGCCACACUGGAACUGAGCCACGGUCCAGACUCCUACGGGAGGCAGCAGUGGGGAAUAUUGCACAAUGGGCGCAAGCCUGAUGCAGCCAUGCCGCGUGUAUGAAGAAGGCCUUCGGGUUGUAAAGUACUUUCAGCGGGGAGGAAGGGAGUAAAGUUAAUACCUUUGCUCAUUGACGUUACCCGCAGAAGAAGCACCGGCUAACUCCGUG
rnacentral:rRNA from 1 species